UCAAAAACAUAGCUUAUUGAAUUUUAUAGUAGGUAAAUUCUGCUCAAUGAUUUAUUUAAAUAGCCGCAGUACCUUGACUGUGCUAAGGUAGCAUAAUAAUUUGUCUUAUAAUUGAAGUCUAGAAUGAAUGGAAUUAUUUGGGUAAAAUCUAUCUAAGUUUAAUUAAAUUUAAUUUUUUUAAUAAGUGAAAAUACUUAUAUAAUUAUGAAAGACGAGAAGACCCUAGAAAUUUUGAUUAAUUAUAAUGUAAUAAUUAUAAAUAUUUUUGUUGGGGCGACAGAAUUACAAAAUUAACUUAUUUUAUUAUUUUGUUAAUUUAAAAAAACCUUUUGAUUAAAUAUAAAUUACUCUAGGGAUAACAGCAUAAUUUAUUAAUAAGUUUGUGACCUCGAUGUUGGAUUAGGAAAAAUAUAUACUAAAAGUAUUUAUUAUUGGUUCUGUUCGAACUUAAUUUCUUACAUGAUCUG
rnacentral:rRNA from 1 species